rnacentral:rRNA from 1 species
AUAUUGCACAAUGGGGGGAACCCUGAUGCAGCAACGCCGCGUGAGCGAUGAAGGCCUUCGGGUCGUAAAGCUCUGUCCUAAGGGAAGUUAAUGACGGUACCUUAGAAGGAAGCCCCGGCUAACUACGUGCCAGCAGUAGCGGUAAUACGUAGGGGGCAAGCGUUAUCCGGAAUCAUUGGGCGUAAAGGGUGCUUAGGCUGCCCUAUAGGUCAGAGGUCAAAGGCUACGGCUCAACCGUAGUAAGCCUUUGAAACUGUAGGGCUUGAGUGCAGGAGAGGAGAGUGGAAUUCCUAGUGUAGCGGUGAAAUGCGUAGAUAUUAGGAGGAACACCAGUGGCGAAGGCGACUCUCUGGACUGCAACUGACGCUGAGGCACGAAAGCGUGGGUAGCGAACA